GGAUGACACAGAGAGACUAACCCAGACCUGUGUCCUCUCCUCUGCCCCCUCAGACCCCUGCCCAGGUGAAACCCUGCCAGAGGAGGUCAGCGACGGCCACCAACAGGCUCAGGAUGACCCUUACGGACCUUCUCUCCUUCCUUACUCCGGACAGGACGUUUCCCAAACAGGCCUCGACUUUGCUUCACUUGGACCAGAGCCUAUGAUCUCCCCGCCCAAUGCAGAGGCAGAAGAAAAAGGAGCCUCUCCUCUGCCUCAGGGCCCAACACACACCCCCACUCGGAACAUCUCUCUAUCGCAAUGCACCACUGUAGAGUCCCUCUCACUCUCCUUCUCGGCUGAGGAGUCGGCACCCCAGGAGGAGCAGAGAGACGAACCCCCAUCCCUGUCGCUGCCACAGCCCGACACAGAAGACCCAAAAGUCCCAGAUACGCCUGCAGCCCCAGAAGGCGAAGCAGCAAGAGAUGCAGCUGGAAAGGCAGAGAGAGCAGAGGAGCACACCCUGGAGAUAAGCCAGAGGGAGGUGCGGAGGCUGAAGUGCCUGAGGACCUUCCAGCAGAUCCUUCGGGAGAAGAGGGAGUCACGGCGCCAGCUCAUCAGCAUGACCAUGUCCACCUUCAAGGAGGACAACCUCAUUCCAGAUGGAAGUCGACAUGACGAUCAGGGCCGAGACAGAGAUGGAGAGCCCAGCAAGCA
ensembl:lncRNA